rnacentral:rRNA from 1 species
GUAUAGAAGUUAUUGUUAUAUAUAUAUAUAUAUAUAUAUACAUGUUAGUUAAAAAAAGAAUUUUUAUUUUUAUUAUUUAAUAAGAAAGAAUAAUUUUUAUUAAAGUAUAUAAGUAUUGAGAAAGAUUUUUUAAAAUUUUUAAAAAGAAAAGUUUAAUUUUUGUACCUUGUGUAUCAGGGUUUAUUAAAUAAUAUAUAUAUAUAUUAUAUUUCUCGAAUUUAAAAGAGUUAUAAUUAUAUAUUUUUUAUUGUAAAAUAAAUAUUAUAAAUAUAAUUAUUGAAGUGAAAUAUUAAUCGAUUUUAAAUAUAUCUAGUUUUUGAAGAAAAAAUUUUAAUUUGAUUUAUAUUUUAUUAUUAUUAUUAUUAUUAUUAUAAUAAUAAUAAUAUAAUUUUAUAUUUUUAGGGAUGAGCUUGAAAAUAGAAUUAUAUAAAUAUAUAUAUAUAUAUAUAUAUAUAUUAAAAUUAAUAAAUAGGAUUAUAAAUUUUUAUUUUUUAUAGUAUGUUAUAAUUAUUUAAUUUUAAAAAAAAAUUUGUAUUUAUUUUAUAUUUUUUAUUUAGAUAAAAAUUAUAAUUAAAUUUAUUAAGAAAUAAUGAUAGAAUUAGUAAAGAUAAUUAUAUAUAUAUAUAUAUUAUUUAUAAGAAAGGUUAAUUAAAGGAAUUCGGCAAAUAUAUUUUUCACCUGUUUAUUAAAAACAUGUCUUUUUGAGUUUAAUUUAAAGUCGGGCCUGCCCAAUGAAUAGUUUAAUGGCUGCGGUAUAUUGACCGUACAAAGGUAGCAUAAUCAUUAGUUUUUUAAUUGGAAGCUUGUAUGAAAGGUUUGAUGAGAAAAUAACUGUCUCUAAUUAAUUUAAAUUGAAUUUUAUUUUUAAGUUAAAAAGCUUAAAUUUUUAUAGAAGACGAGAAGACCCUAUAGAGUUUUAUUUUCAUUUUUUUUUAAAAUAAUUAGAUUUUAUUAUUUUAAAGGAAAAUUAGAAUUUAGUUGGGGUGAUUGAAAAAUUAAUUUAACUUUUUUUUUAAAAAGUAACAUUUAUAUAUGAUUAUUUGAUCCAUAAUAUUGAUUAAAAGAUAAAAUUACCUUAGGGAUAACAGCGUAAUUUUUUUUUAAAGAUCUAAUUGAAAAAAAAGAUUGCGACCUCGAUGUUGGAUUAAAAUAAGAAAUUGGUGUAGAAGCUUUUUUUUUGGGUCUGUUCGACCUUUUAAUUUUUACAUGAUCUGAGUUUAAACCGGCGUAAGCCAGGUUGGUUUCUAUCUCUAUAAAUAUAGAAUAUUUUAGUACGAAAGGACCAAAUAUUUAGUUAAUAAUUUAUAUUAUGAAUAUAAAUAAUAAGUUAUUUUGGCAGAUUAGUGUAAUAGAUUUAGAAUCUAUA